GACGAACGCUGGCGGCGUGCUUAACACAUGCAAGUCGAGCGGUAAGGCCCCUUCUGGGGUCCACGAGCGGCGAACGGGUUAGUAACACGUCAGCAAUCUGCCCAUCACAUCGGGAUAACUCCGGUAAACCGACGCUAAUACCGAAUCCGACCACCUCCGGCAUCGGAUGGUGGUGGAAAGUUCCGGCGGUGAUGGAUGAGCUCGCGGCCUAUCAGCUUGUUGGUGGGGUAACGGCCCACCAAGGCCUCGACGGGUAGCCGGCCUGAGAGGGUGACCGGCCACACUGGGACUGAGACACGGCCCAGACUCCUACGGGAGGCAGCAGUGGGGAAUAUUGGACAAUGGGCGAAAGCCUGAGACAGCAACGCCGCGUGAGGGAUGACGGCCUUCGGGUUGUAAACCUCUUUCAGCAGGGACGAAGCGGAAGUGACGGUACCUGCAGAAGAAGCACCGGCCAACUACGUG
rnacentral:rRNA from 1 species